UAGGGAAUCUUCGGCAAUGGACGAAAGUCUGACCGAGCAACGCCGCGUGAGUGAAGAAGGUUUUCGGAUCGUAAAACUCUGUUGUUAGAGAAGAACAAGGACGUUAGUAACUGAACGUCCCCUGACGGUAUCUAACCAGAAAGCCACGGCUAACUACGUGCCAGCAGCCGCGGUAUUACGUAGGUGGCAAGCGUUGUCCGGAUUUAUUGGGCGUAAAGCGAGCGCAGGCGGUUUCUUAAGUCUGAUGUGAAAGCCCCCGGCUCAACCGGGGAGGGUCAUUGGAAACUGGGAGACUUGAGUGCAGAAGAGGAGAGUGGAAUUCCAUGUGUAGCGGUGAAAUGCGUAGAUAUAUGGAGGAACACCAGUGGCGAAGGCGGCUCUCUGGUCUGUAACUGACGCUGAGGCUCGAAAGCGUGGGGAGCAAACAGG
rnacentral:rRNA from 1 species